UACGGAGGGAGCUAGCGUUGUUCGGAAUUACUGGGCGUAAAGCGCGCGUAGGCGGCUUUGUAAGUUAGAGGUGAAAGCCCGGGGCUCAACCCCGGAACUGCCUUUAAGACUGCAUCGCUUGAAUCCGGGAGAGGUGAGUGGAAUUCCGAGUGUAGAGGUGAAAUUCGUAGAUAUUCGGAAGAACACCAGUGGCGAAGGCGGUUCUCUGGGCAUUACCUGACGCUGAGGAGCGAAAGCGUGGGGAGCAAACAGG
rnacentral:rRNA from 1 species